rnacentral:rRNA from 1 species
UACAGAGGUCUCAAGCGUUUGUUCGGAUUCAUUGGGCGUAAAGGGUGCGUAGGCGGCGCGGUAAGUCGGGUGUGAAAUCUCGGGGCUUAACUCCGAAACUGCAUUCGAUACUGCCGUGCUUGAGGACUGGAGAGGAGACUGGAAUUUACGGUGUAGCGGUGAAAUGCGUAGAUAUCGUAAGGAAGACCAGUGGCGAAGGCGGGUCUCUGGACAGUUUCCUGACGCUGAGACGCGAAAAGCGUGGGGGAGCAAACAGG